GCGGGCGUAGCUUAGUGGAAAAGCACUGGGUUUCCACCCCAGGUACGCGAGUUCGAUCCUCGCCGCCCGCU
rnacentral:tRNA from 1 species